AUUAAACGCUGGCGGCAUGCCUUACACAUGCAAGUCGAACGGCAGCACGGGGGCAACCCUGGUGGCGAGUGGCGAACGGGUGAGUAAAGCAUCGGAACGUGCCCUGGAGUGGGGGAUAACGUAGCGAAAGUUACGCUAAUACCGCAUAUUCUGUGAGCAGGAAAGCAGGGGAUCGCAAGACCUUGCGCUCUGGGAGCGGCCGAUGUCGGAUUAGCUAGUUGGUGGGGUAAAGGCCUACCAAGGCGACGAUCCGUAGCGGGUCUGAGAGGAUGAUCCGCCACACUGGGACUGAGACACGGCCCAGACUCCUACGGGAGGCAGCAGUGGGGAAUUUUGGACAAUGGGCGAAAGCCUGAUCCAGCCAUGCCGCGUGAGUGAAGAAGGCCUCGGUUGGUAAG
rnacentral:rRNA from 1 species